rnacentral:other from 1 species
ACAAGCCUGGAAUGUGCGCGGGCUUUAACAAUGUCUAACCUACAUAUUUCAUAGGGAAUCCGAUUUGAUCCUGGUGGAGGUUCGCCACGGCGAAAUGCUGAAGUCAGGCUUAGGGCACCCACCUGCUAUCCGCAGGUUUUAGACAUUUAAAGCGAACGGCAUUUUGGACCCCUG